rnacentral:rRNA from 1 species
GAUGAACGCUGGCGGCGUGCCUAAUACAUGCAAGUCGAGCGAACAGACGAGGAGCUUGCUCCUCUGACGUUAGCGGCGGACGGGUGAGUAACACGUGGAUAACCUACCUAUAAGACUGGGAUAACUUCGGGAAACCGGAGCUAAUACCGGAUAAUAUAUUGAACCGCAUGGUUCAAUAGUGAAAGACGGUUUUGCUGUCACUUAUAGAUGGAUCCGCGCCGCAUUAGCUAGUUGGUAAGGUAACGGCUUACCAAGGCAACGAUGCGUAGCCGACCUGAGAGGGUGAUCGGCCACACUGGAACUGAGACACGGUCCAGACGCCUACGGGAGGCAGCAGUAGGGAAUCUUCCGCAAUGGGCGAAAGCCUGACGGAGCAACGCCGCGUGAGUGAUGAAGGUCUUCGGAUCGUAAAACUCUGUUAUUAGGGAAGAACAAAUGUGUAAGUAACUAUGCACGUAUUGACGGUACCUAAUCAGAAAGCCACGGCUAACUACGUG